rnacentral:misc_RNA from 1 species
GAAAUGCGAUACGUAGUGUGAAUUGCAGAAUUCCGUGAACCAUCGAAUCUUUGAACGCAUAUUGCGCUCGAGCCUUCGGGCAAGAGCAUGUCUGCCUCAGCGUCGGUUUAUACCCUCACCCCUCCCAACUUGUUGGGUGUGUUUGCUUCAUAGCAGGCCAUUGGGGUGGAUCUGGCUUCCCCAAUCUGCCGUCAGGCGGAUUGGGUUGGCUUAAGAGUAGAGGCUUAAGCAAGGACCCGAUAUGGGCUUCAACUGGAUAGGUAGCACCGGUGUAUGCCGACUACACGAAGUUGUUGCUUGUGGAUCUUGCUAGGAGCCAAGCAGGAACAUGCCUUUGGCAUGUCUAAACUUUCGACCUGAGCUCAGGCAAGGCUACCCGCUGAACUUAA